rnacentral:rRNA from 1 species
CAGCAGCCGCGGUAAUACGAAGGGGGCUAGCGUUGUUCGGAAUUACUGGGCGUAAAGCGCACGUAGGCGGAUUUUUAAGUCAGGGGUGAAAUCCCGAGGCUCAACCUCGGAACUGCCUUUGAUACUGGAGACCUUGAGUUCGGAAGAGGUUGGUGGAACAGCUAGUGUAGAGGUGAAAUUCGUAGAUAUUAGCUAGAACACCAGUGGCGAAGGCGGCCAACUGGUCCGAUACUGACGCUGAGGUGCGAAAGCGUGGGGAGCAAACAGGAUUAGAUACCCCCGUAGUCCCUGUCUCUUAUAC